GGCUCACAUGCAGUCAUAUCGCCAUAACAUGAUUGUAUAUCUCUUGCCUUUCUUCUUGGCAAAGGGAGGAAAAAAGGAGGAUAACUGUAGAGAGCGUAAUGUUUUUCAUAAUAUUACGUCAGUCAAAACAUGAGUCGUGAAAACUUAUGUGAUUCAAAUAAUUGGCAGAGAAGCUUGUUGAAGAACAGAGGAAGUUUGAUGCUGUGAUCUCUCUAGAGGUAAUAGAGCAUGUAGCAGAUCCUGCUGAGUUCUGUAAGUCACUCGCGGCAUUGACUAUUCCUGAGGGAGCUAUAGUGAUUUCAACUAUUAACCGUUCUAUGAGAGCUUAUGCUACUGCUAUCGUUGCUGCUGAGUACCUCCUCCGUUGGCUUCCGAAAGGUACACACCAGUGGUCGAGUUUCCUUACCCCUGAAGAGCUAGCAUUGAUCCUACAACGUUCUUCUAUCAGUGUCAAAGAGAUGGCUGGAUUUGUGUACAACCCCUUGACAGGAAGAUGGUCUCUUUCCGAUGAUGUUGGCGUGAAUUUUAUUGCUUUUGGAACGAAAAACAGCCAGUGAAUGAAUAUUCAUGAGAAAUAUCUCCUGCCAAAUGUUAACAGCUUUCGUGUUAGGUUUGUGUCUUAUACAUGAUUUUAAAUAAUAUGCUAAAUCUUUAUGGAAAAAAUAAA